rnacentral:misc_RNA from 1 species
GGAUGAAGAACGCAGCGAAAUGCGAUACGUAAUGUGAAUUGCAGAAUUCAGUGAAUCAUCGAAUCUUUGAACGCGUAUUGCGCUCUCUGGUAUUCCGGAGAGCAUGCUUGUUUGAGUAUCAGUAAACACCUCAACUCCCUUUCUUCUUGAAAUGGAGCUGGACUUGAGUGAUCCCAACGCUUUAUUCAUAAAGUGGCGGGUUACUUGAAAUGCAGGUGCAGCUGGACUUUUCUCUGAGCUAUAAGCAUAUCUAUUUAGUCUGCCUCAAAACAGAUUAUUACCUUUGCUGCAGCUAACAUAAAGGAGAUUAGUUCUUGUGCUGACUGAUGCAGGAUUCACAAAGACCGCUUCGGCUGUCUUUGUAAACUCGAUCUCAAAUCAAGUAAGACUACCCGCUGAACUUAAGCAUAUCAAUAAGCGGAGGA